rnacentral:rRNA from 1 species
CACGAAGCCGUGCGAGCUACUGAGAUGCAUAUCUUAGUAUGCAAUAUGUAACAUAAUAAUAGUAGACAUCUCAGUAGGAGUGAUAGGCUCUCAAGCCCGGCGAUAUCUUGUUAACUUUGAAAGGUAUAUAGUACAACGACAGUUUAUAGGUGAUAAGGCCUGUAAAAGUAUAUGUGAUUUAAUAAACCGACUUUAACAUAGUUUAACCGCUGGUUAUAGUUAGCAUUAAUAUAUAUGUUUGAUGACAAUAAGUAUUAAAAGUUAACAUCAAAAAUGUUAUAGGAUAUUUAUAAUGUUAAUAUUAGUAGUUAAGUUAUCGUUGAUGAACUCGGCAACAUCCCUUUCAACUGUUUAUCAAAAACAUAGCCAAUAGGAGUCACUGUUGGUCUAUUCUGCUCAAUGUGACAUAAAUGGCCGCAGUACACUGACUGUGCAAAGGUAGCAUAAUCAUUUGGCUUAUAAUUGAAGUCUGGUAUGAAUGAACGCAUGGGGGGGAACUCUAUUUGCGGUAUAGUAUGAAUUUACUUAGUUGGUGCAAAUGCCUGCAGUUAAAUAAUAGACGAGAAGACCCUAGAAAUUUUCAUAACCCGAAACAAGUAGUUUUUGUUGGGGCAACAUAGUAGCAUUUAAACCUACAGUAAAGACAUGACAUGGUCAUAGUAAGUUAAAAUUACUCUAGGGAUAACAGCGUAAUUUUUAUGAGUUUGCGACCUCGAUGUUGGACUAGGAAGCAGAUGCUUAGAA